UAGGGAAUCUUCGGCAAUGGACGAAAGUCUGACCGAGCAACGCCGCGUGAGUGAAGAUGGUUUUCGGAUCGUAAAACUCUGUUGUUAGAGAAGAACAAGGACGUUAGUAACUGAACGUCCCCUGACGGUAUCUAACCAGAAAGCCACGGCUAACUACGUGCCAGCAGCCGCGGUAAUACGUAGGUGGCAAGCGUUGUCCGGAUUUAUUGGGCGUAAAGCGAGCGCAGGCGGUUUCUUAAGUCUGAUGUGAAAGCCCCCGGCUCAACCGGGGAGGGUAAUUGGAAACUGGGAGACUUGAGUGCAGAAGAGGAGAGUGGAAUUCCAUGUGUAGCGGUGAAAUGCGUAGAUAUAUGGAGGAACACCAGUGGCGAAGGCGGCUCUCUGGUCUGUAACUGACGCUGAGGCUCGAAAGCGUGGGGAGCAAACAGG
rnacentral:rRNA from 1 species